rnacentral:rRNA from 1 species
UGGGGAAUAUUGGACAAUGGGCGAAAGCCUGAUCCAGCCAUGCCGCGUGUGUGAAGAAGGUCUUCGGAUUGUAAAGCACUUUAAGUUGGGAGGAAGGGCAGUAAGCUAAUACCUUGCUGUUUUGACGUUACCGACAGAAUAAGCACCGGCUAACUUCGUGCCAGCAGCCGCGGUAAUACGAAGGGUGCAAGCGUUAAUCGGAAUUACUGGGCGUAAAGCGCGCGUAGGUGGUUCGUUAAGUUGGAUGUGAAAGCCCCGGGCUCAACCUGGGAACUGCAUCCAAAACUGGCGAGCUAGAGUAUGGUAGAGGGUGGUGGAAUUUCCUGUGUAGCGGUGAAAUGCGUAGAUAUAGGAAGGAACACCAGUGGCGAAGGCGACCACCUGGACUGAUACUGACACUGAGGUGCGAAAAGCGUGGGGAGCAAAACAGGAUUAGAUACCCUGGUAGUCCACGCCGUAAAACGAUGUCAACUAGCCGUUGGGUUCCUUGAGGACUUAGUGGCGCAGCUAACGCAUUAAGUUGACCGCCUGGGGAGUACGGCCGCAAGGUUAAAACUCAAAAGGAAUUGACGGGGUCAUAGCUGUUUCCUG